CGGUUGAUCCUGCCGGACCCUACUGCUAUCGGGGUGGGACUAAGACAUGCGAGUUGAGCGUCUCUAAGCUAUGGUAGAGACGCGGCGUACGGCUCAGUAACACGUGGCUAACCUACCCUUAGGACGGGGACAACCCCGGGAAACUGGGGCUAAUACCCGAUAGGCGAGGAGGCCUGGAAUGGUUCCUAGUCGAAAAGGCGUUGAAACCAUGCUUUUCGACGUCGCCUAAGGAUGGGGCCGCGCCCGAUCAGGUUGUUGGUGGGGUAACGGCUCACCAAGCCUAUAACCGGUACGGGCCGUGAGAGCGGGAGCCCGGAGAUGGGCACUGAGACAAGGGCCCAGGCCCUACGGGGCGCAGCAGUCGCGAAAACUCCGCAAUGCGCGAAAGCGUGACGGGGCUACCCCGAGUGCCGUCCGCUGAGGAUGGCUUUUCCCCGGUGUAAUGAGCCGGGGGAAUAAGGAGAGGGCAAGUCUGGUGUCAGCCGCCGCGGUAAUACCAGCUCUCCGAGUGGUAGGGAUGAUUAUUGGGCUUAAAGCGUCCGUAGCCGGCUUAGCAAGUCUCCUGUUAAAUUCAGCGACCUAAUCGUUGAGCCGCGGGAGAUACUACUAGGCUAGGAGGCGGGAGAGGCCGACGGUAUUCUCGGGGUAGGGGUGAAAUCCUAUAAUCCCGGGAGGACCACCAGUGGCGAAGGCUGUCGGCUAGAACGCGCUCGACGGUGAGGGACGAAAGCUGGGGGAGCGAACCGGAUUAGAUACCCGGGUAGUCCCAGCUGUAAACGAUGCGGGCUAGGUGUUGGGGUGGCUACGAGCCACUUCAGUGCCGCAGGGAAGCCAUUAAGCCCGCCGCCUGGGGAGUACGGCCGCAAGGCUGAAACUUAAAGGAAUUGGCGGGGGAGCAC
rnacentral:rRNA from 1 species